rnacentral:piRNA from 1 species
UGAAAAGGUUCAAUACAUCUCUGA